GUAUCCCACACCUUACAUAACUUGUGUCCGACGUCUUACAUACGUUUUGGUAACUUAAAUUGUGUGCGACGAGUAAAUCCACCGCACACGAUUCUAUUUUGCAAACUCUGUGCGAGUAGAGACAUAUAGAUCAGAACUCUCCCGUAUAAAAGAGAUAUAUCUUUUCCUAAUAAUAAAGCGAUUAAUGCUUCUGCCCGCCUGCUCACCGUCAUCGCGCUUUUGCUAAAAAAGACCCUGUGUUGUUUAGUAUUCAACCCGCAGUCCUCGAUCAGUAAAGAAAAAAACGUUUCGCGACGGACGGAAGAAAUAGAAGACCCACCUAUCCCAUCGUCUUCCUGCUCCGACUCCAGGCCACGAGCUGCUCCCCACCAAUGGCUCCGCCCCGCGCCUCCUCGCGGCUAUGCCGCCGGCGAUGUGCGCCGCCCCCGGCCGCGCGUCGCUUUCCUCUUCCCGGCAACGCGCCGCUCGCCUCGUCCCGCCCACAUGCCCCAGCGACUCCUCCCUGCUCCACUCCCGACGAGUCGCGCUGCCCCUGGUCACGUUGGGACAUGGGAUAGGUGGGGAGGGUUGGAGUUAAACUCCAUAUCCCUGGCCACGUUUUCUAAUCCGCAACAGCAGUGAACAACGAUUUCAAGAAGCGGGCGGCCGGGCGGACGGCUCGGCUGAGGCGGCAGCCGCGGCCGGACUCCUCUGCAGCCUUAGGGUGGCGGCAGCUCGCCGCCUUAAAUCCAGGAGGGGGCGACCUGGACCACGCGCACGUCCUCCAGGGGUACGUAAUCGUCCAAAUCUCGCGUUGUUUAUUUUGGGCUCGAUGCUUGCUGGUUUGAUUUGGGGUUGGCAUCCAUUCCAGGUGAGUUGGAAUAAGAUUUACAUGUGCAAUGACCUAGGAUUAUGCAGAUAAUGGAAUUUGAGUUGGUGCGGAACAUGCACUGUAAUGAAGGAUGCUAACUUAUUGUCCUGAGGAGAGCUGCUGCUACCAUUGACCGGAAUGAAGACAAAGGAUCAAUUUAGGUGGUGAAUGGAAGACUUAAUUCGAGCAACCUGUAUAGAGCCAAAGAACAACGACAGUAAGAAGCAGAUUUCCUGUUCGUUUACAUGGGGCACUUCCUCGCUAGCCUUGAACAAGAUUUCAUCUGUUUUGUCAGACCAAAAGCUGUAGAAAGAACUCCGGUAAUCUGUCAAAGCUUACUUGGCCUGAAACUAUUUAUUUUGUCUUUAUCUUCGCAGGAUGAAGGAUUUAGCUUCUUCUUUGCCUUUUUAUUUUUUCCCAUGUAUCAUGUUACUCGUCAAAGCGAAGCAAUCAAAAAACUCCAGCAACAUACACUGAAAUUGUCACUUUUAAAAAGGAACGGGCAGAACCUAUGGCGUGGCUUGAAAUAGGCAAGCACACGAGAAGAAUUGAUCACCGCUAUUAAAAUGGUCAAAUGGACUGGACUGACACGCUUACGCUGCAAAUGGUCUGUGGCUUGUAACAGGGCACGAAUCUUGGCGGGGCUCAACGCACGGGAUAACCGAGGGUCGGGACUCCCGGGUGCUACCACGCCUUUCCGUUUUCACAUAUAUUUCUCUAGCAAAGUGCAGCUGGGAGCGGUGUAUAGAAUGUUCAGUUUUGCAUGUUCUGAUGCCAGAUAGUGUUCAGCUUAAAGAGAUGGCUAUGAGGUGCGUGCAAGUACAAGCGUGAAAUGAGGGUCAAUUUGUUAUUCGCCAAAGUGAUAUGAAAACGAAGAUCCUGUAACUGAAGUUGCAUCCUCAGUCCUACAUAACACAUCCUUUUUCGCAGAAUAAAUGGUCACAACUUCUUCAUAUAUAUAGGCAGUGUUGCUGGAGGAAUGGCAAGAUGCCCAGUCAGAUGACCUAGGUCUGUGGCAAGUUGGUGGACCUCGACUACAGGAACAUCACCGAGGCAAUCACCGAGGCAAUCGAUAGUAGGUUGGUCAAUUGCUAACACAACAUGUUUUGAAUUGUAAAAUUAAGUUUGUUCUUUUGUUUAUUUUUUCUGAUUGAAAGUGCCAGUUGGUGUUGUUGUAUAAAAUAUUUUGAAUUACAAAAUUAAUUCUCCGGUUACACGCA